CGGGUCCAGAUAACAUGUAUUUCACCAGGAAUCAUUCCAGGCUCAUAUCGUGCUAAAAUACAAGCACAUGGUAGGCCAUACAUUGAGCUCAAAAUGCAUCCACAACGAGCACUGUUCAAACCUAUUUUAUUCACUCGCUCUACUUCAUCAACAAUAAGUUCAAGAGCGUAUCGUGAAGCAUGUCUUAUACGGCAUGAUCCAGGUACGGUUGACAUAAUGAAAAAAUAAAGGCCACGCAGCAGAGGCAUACUCAAAACGAUAAACAUAACCACCAAACUUGGACUGGUCGUCACAGUCCAUCACAUUUUGCCAUACUUCCAU
rnacentral:lncRNA from 1 species